UACGUAGGGCACAAGCGUUGUCCGGAAUUAUUGGGCGUAAAGAGCUCGUAGGCGGUUUGUCGCGUCUGUCGUGAAAGCUUGGGGCUUAACCCCAAGUCUGCGGUGGAUACGGGCAGACUAGAGGCAGGUAGGGGAGAACGGAAUUCCUGGUGUAGCGGUGAAAUGCGCAGAUAUCAGGAGGAACACCGGUGGCGAAGGCGGUUCUCUGGGCCUGUACUGACGCUGAGGAGCGAAAGCGUGGGGAGCGAACAGG
rnacentral:rRNA from 1 species